CUAACAUGUCUAAAGUCUUUUGAACCCUGAACUGUCCCAUUAAACCACCCCCAUGUGCUCCCCUUACCAAUAAUUCACGCAAAGAACAAUUAGGAAUGCAAAACUUAUUUUCCCUAAACAAAUAUCCUUCAUGCCUAUAGAAUUUAUCAAAUGCACCUUUGUCACAUGAAGCAUAAAUACAAGAAAAAUCACAAUCAGAUUCAUACAUACCCUUAAUAUGUU
rnacentral:lncRNA from 1 species